rnacentral:rRNA from 1 species
GAUCAUUAGCGUGGGGCUCCGGCCCUGUCGUGAUAGAACCCUUGCCUUUUGAGUACCGUCCGUUUCCUCGGCAGGCUCGCCUGCCAAUGGGGACCCCCAAUAAACCCUUUUUUAUGUACCUGUAUCAGUCUGACAAACAAACAAAAGUUAAAACUUUCAACAACGGAUCUCUUGGUUCUGGCAUCGAUGAAGAACGCAGCGAAAUGCGAUAAGUAGUGUGAAUUGCAGAAUUCAGUGAAUCAUCGAAUCUUUGAACGCACAUUGCGCCCUUUGGUAUUCCUUAGGGCAUGCCUGUUCGAGCGUCAUUUGUAACCUCAAGCUCAGCUUGGUGUUGGGUGUCUGUCCCCGCCCCGCGCGGGGACUCGCCUCAAAAACAUUGGCGGCCGGUACGUUGGCUUCGAGCGCAGCAGAAACGCGAACUCGAGGCCCGACGGAUCGGCGACCAGAAGUCACUUCUUCCACAGCUUGACCUCGGAUCAGGUAGGGAUACCCGCUGAACUUAAGCAUAUCAAUAAGCGGAGGAAAAGAAACCAACAGGGAUUGCCCUAGUAACGGCGAGUGAAGCGGCAAGAGCUCAAAUUUGAAAUCUGGCCCCCUCGGGGUCCGAGUUGUAAUUUGUAGAGGGUGCUUUGGCGUUGGCUGUGGUCUAAGUUCCUUGGAACAGGACGUCGCAGAGGGUGAGAAUCCCGUAUGUGGCCGCCAGUCUUCGCCGUGUAAAGCCCCUUCGACGAGUCGAGUUGUUUGGGAAUGCAGCUCUAAAUGGGAGGUAAAUUUCUUCUAAAGCUAAAUAUUGGCCAGAGACCGAUAGCGCACAAGUAGAGUGAUCGAAAGAUGAAAAGCACUUUGGAAAGAGAGUCAAAAAGCACGUGAAAUUGUUGAAAGGGAAGCGCUUGCAGCCAGACUUGCCCGCAGUUGCUCAUCCAGGCUCGCGCCUGGUGCACUCUUCUGCGGGCAGGCCAGCAUCAGUCUGGGCGGUUGGAUAAAGGCCUGCUAAAUGUACCUCUCCUCGGGGAGGACUUAUAGGGUAGGCAACAUACAACCAGCCCGGAUUGAGGUCCGCG